UACGUAGGGUGCAAGCGUUGUCCGGAAUUAUUGGGCGUAAAGAGCUCGUAGGCGGUCUGUCGCGUCUGCUGUGAAAAUCCAGGGCUCAACCCUGGACCUGCAGUGGGUACGGGCAGACUAGAGUGCGGUAGGGGAGAUCGGAAUUCCUGGUGUAGCGGUGAAAUGCGCAGAUACCAGGAGGAACACCGGUGGCGAAGGCGGAUCUCUGGGCCGUAACUGACGCUGAGGAGCGAAAGCAUGGGGAGCGAACAGG
rnacentral:rRNA from 1 species